GUUUCCCUGCUGUGCCCGUGACGCAAGUCGGUAAUUUUUGAGCCAACACCUUGGAAAAGGGAGCCUGGACUCUGGCUAGGGCGUGCAUGCCCCGGCGUGGGGACGCACAAAUUAUUCAGGAGGGCACCCACUUUGUAAGCGAGAGCUUCAAAAACUAUCGACUCACGGCAUGGUGGGGGCAAC
rnacentral:other from 1 species